rnacentral:rRNA from 1 species
GUUAUAUGGUCAAGUGAAGAAGCGCAUACGGUGGAUGCCUUGGCAGUCAGAGG